GAUGAACGCUGGCGGCGUGCCUAAUACAUGCAAGUCGAGCGAACAGACGAGGAGCUUGCUCCUCUAACGUUAGCGGCGGACGGGUGAGUAACACGUGGAUAACCUACCUAUAAGACUGGGAUAACUUCGGGAAACCGGAGCUAAUACCGGAUAAUAUAUUGAACCGCAUGGUUCAAUAGUGAAAGACGGUUUUGCUGUCACUUAUAGAUGGAUCCGCGCCGCAUUAGCUAGUUGGUAAGGUAACGGCUUACCAAGGCAACGAUGCGUAGCCGACCUGAGAGGGUGAUCGGCCACACUGGAACUGAGACACGGUCCAGACUCCUACGGGAGGCAGCAGUAGGGAAUCUUCCGCAAUGGGCGAAAGCCUGACGGAGCAACGCCGCGUGAGUGAUGAAGGUCUUCGGAUCGUAAAACUCUGUUAUUAGGGAAGAACAAAUGUGUAAGUAACUAUGCACGUCUUGACGGUACCUAAUCAGAAAGCCACGGCUAACUACGU
rnacentral:rRNA from 1 species